UGUUGUUCUUGGGUUUUGUUUCCCUUCUUGGCAUAGGUUGGCGGGGCGGGGUCUUGAUGGCAUUCCGGCACACCUGCGGCGCAUCGGACGUAAUCAGUGAGCGCAUUUAUGGAGCUGAGUCACGGACGUCUGGUGUCGGGCCUGUCCCGCCCGCCUGCUCGCCUGCCUAGUUUUCUUUGUGAUUGGCUUCCUUGGAUCCGUGACGGGGAGUUACUUUGCACCUGUUUGUGACCACUGCUACAGCUGUAUUUCUGUGUUUCAAGUAGCCCCGGUGCGUCAUCUGUCCACCCGCAUACCUCGGCUCCGUUUCAUCUCUUCAGCUCUGCUCAUUUUGCACAUUUUACUUGUUAUUGUAUAUAGCCCUUUCCCUUGUAAAUAUUUUCCCCACCGUCGUAUAUAAAUCUGCAUCACUACUAUCCUGUGCCCGUGUGUUUCUGCCACUAAAUCCAUCCGUGCCAAUUCACCUAACAAAAAUGUAUUCCACUACAGAUUACAGAAUACAUGGCCCAAAAUGUGUUUUGUAACAUAUUCCGUUAAGUUACUCAAUGAGAGUAUUCUGAAUACUUUGGAAUACUUAAUAUAUUGUCAUG